GGUAACGCAAGCCUGUGACCCAAGUGGGGGUAAUAAGCUUGUGACCCAAGUGGGGGUAAUAAAAUGAUGGAAAUUAUCGAUAAUAUCCAAUUGAGUUGGACCUAGCUCAUGCUUCACGGGGAUCGUUAUUGCACAACCUUUACCAGGUUAGUAUCGCUGGCUUAACAGAGCAGGUCUCUCCAUGAGAGUACCUUGAGAUUGUAGAGAUUGUUCAAAUCUCCGAUCUUAAGGGUGUAUUAACCGGUAGGUCUAUUAGUACAAUAUAAAGCAUGAAGACUUAACCAGGUUAAGUGUGUUCAACUCGUAUAUAUACUUCGAUAAUCAACCCUCAUUUU
rnacentral:lncRNA from 1 species